UUAAAUUGAAGAGUUUGAUCAUGGCUCAGAUUGAACGCUGGCGGCAGGCCUAACACAUGCAAGUCGAACGGUAACAGAAAGCAGCUUGCUGCUUUGCUGACGAGUGGCGGACGGGUGAGUAAUGUCUGGGAAACUGCCUGAUGGAGGGGGAUAACUACUGGAAACGGUAGCUAAUACCGCAUAACGUCGCAAGACCAAAGAGGGGGACCUUCGGGCCUCUUGCCAUCGGAUGUGCCCAGAUGGGAUUAGCUAGUAGGUGGGGUAACGGCUCACCUAGGCGACGAUCCCUAGCUGGUCUGAGAGGAUGACCAGCCACACUGGAACUGAGACACGGUCCAGACUCCUACGGGAGGCAGCAGUGGGGAAUAUUGCACAAUGGGCGCAAGCCUGAUGCAGCCAUGCCGCGUGUAUGAAGAAGGCCUUCGGGUUGUAAAGUACUUUCAGC
rnacentral:rRNA from 1 species